CCCAAAGAUCAUCUCCUGAAAAUGACAUCAACAAACUGUAUUGUACAAAAAAGGAAUGAAUACAUAGCAACUUUCCAAUUGGUACUGUGUUUCUGUGGCUUGGGAACCUUUUUGAACGCCAAAUUAUGCUUUAAAAAAAACCAGAACCUGAAGUGGCGGAAUGGAAAUCAAAGCAGUGCUAUUUUGUGUGGUUUCUGGUAAAACAUGAAGACAGUGAUUAGCAGCUCAUGAAAUUUCUAUACCAGAGGCAGAGACCCCGGCUUCACCAUUCAAAAGAGAGGAGGCCCUUGGAAUGGGAGCAGAGGAUUUCAGGCAGCCCCAGUCAGCUGCUGAGCAGGCUUCAUAAGAGGAGUUUUGAAUGUGACUAACCAGAUGCAUGCAGAAAGUCACAACAAGAAACCUGGGUAGCCAUCAUUAUUUUGGACUGCAAAACAUUUUGAUUGGGGUGAAGGCAGGAGUUGUCCCCGAUUGUGUAGGCGGCACCAGGAGAUGAACACCUCACGUUUUCCUUGUGCUAAGAUCUUUCCGGAGAGACAUCCAGCUGAGGCCCUGCCCACUUACAGUUAUUACAGUCUCUGUACCAGUUUUUGCAAGAUCAGCAAUGCUACUCUGGAGCCUGGGCCGCAUUCCAAUUCAGAAUUCUCCAGGGACAACGGAAGGGAAAGAAGGAACCGAAUGAAACACCGCGUUGGGCACGCUCCGCAGUUAUUAGGAAAAUUCCACCUUCAUGCAAAUUGUAUUUCAUCACUUCAUUAAGAAGCUCUCUCCUCAGCUGCUGCUUUCGGAAGCUGCAUGACAAUCACUCCUUUUAUUUCCCUCACUGUCAGGGCCUUUUUCCAACUACAGCUGCAAUG